rnacentral:lncRNA from 1 species
CCGCAUCCAUAUUAGAACUCAGACUUCUAUACCUUUUAUGCUGAUACAACAUUUCUCAUAAUUUAUAUAUGCUUUCUAUUGUCUUUGUCAAUUCUGUUUAGUGUUCAUUUUAGGAAGCUAAGAUGAACAAAUUGAAAAAAUUGAAAGUAAAAGACGAACGAAAACAACCCAAAACUCUAAAACGGAAUAUUAGAGCUAGAAAACAAAACACCAAAAACACAAAAGCCCAAAAAACUCUUAAGAAUCCGGUGCUAAAAACAAAAACUUCUAUAGUUAUUGUCGUUGCUGCAACAAUGCAUCAGAUCCAUCGAUACCAUUCAGAAGACCAGUUUUUAACUCUCUGCGUACUAUUACAAUAGAUUUCCAAUGAAAAAGAUCUCUAACUAAAUCUAAAGAACACCAAAUUAUCACUGAUGCAGCUGGAAACCACCAACGAAACACCACCACCCUCAAAUCUUCAAAUUGAGAACUAAAUCCACACAUAAAGCUUCACCAUAUAUAACAUACAAUAGUUUUUAAACUAUCAUAUUAAAAGCAACAUACGUUGACCGACAGAAGCAACAAGCUCUAGGACUGCAUCCGGG